UAUGCCUUAUCACAAUAUUUU
rnacentral:piRNA from 1 species